rnacentral:tRNA from 1 species
AGUGAAGUGCCUGAUAAAAGGGUUACUUUGAUAGAGUAUAAAUAGGAACUAUUCCUCUUCACUA